AUACGAAGGGGGUUAGCGUUGUGCGGAAUUACUGGGCGUAAAGCGUACGUAGGCGGAUCGGAAAGUAAGGGGUGAAAUCCCAGGGCUCAACCCUGGAACUGCCUCUUAAACUCCCGGUCUUGAGUUCGAGAGAGGUGAGUGGAAUUCCUAGUGUAGAGGUGAAAUUCGUAGAUAUUAGGAGGAACACCAGUGGCGAAGGCGGCUCACUGGCUCGAUACUGACGCUGAGGUACGAAAGUGUGGGGAGCAAACAGGAUUAGAAACCCUAGUAGUCC
rnacentral:rRNA from 1 species